rnacentral:rRNA from 1 species
CCCUUAGAUGUCCUGGGCCGCACGCGCGUUACACUGAUGCGUUCAACAAGCUUAUAACCUUGGCCGAGAGGCCUGGGCAAUCUUGUUAACGUGCAUCGUGAUAGGGAUAGAUUAUUGAAAUUAUUAAUCUUGAACGAGGAAUUCCUAGUAAACGCAGAUCAUCAAUCUGCAUUGAUUACGUCCCUGCCCUUUGUACACACCGCCCGUCGCACCUACCGAUUGGAUGGUCCGGUGAAGCCUCGGGAUUGUGGUUCUUGCCGCUUUAUUGUGGCGUGACCGCGAGAACUUGUCUAAACCUUAUCAUCUAGAGGAAGGUGAAGUCGUAACA